UCAUAAAAAAACCAAGUCAGAGUGCCAAUUAAAGAUGGAAUAUCAAACUAUGGACAAGAAAUAUGAGUAUGUCAAUGCAUUGCUGCACUUUGGUACAUGUGCAGUGAGAAUUACUUUGCUCACUCCCUUAGUCUUGUUGUUGGAUUGAGGGUUGUGUUCUGAAGAUAUUUGAGAGAGAAAAAGGAACCGAAAGGAGGCGGAUUGAGCUUCAAAGACAGAACUCUCGCCAUUCGCUGCAAUAUAAUAAUAAUAAUAAU
rnacentral:lncRNA from 1 species